UCAAGAUUCACAAACGUUAAAUUUGCACCGUACGUGAAAAAAUCCGAAGAGCCUUUAUCUUGUUCUAUCAUCCUCUUGAUCGCACCGUUUUCUUCUCUUUUUUCACCAGCAAUCAGUGCAGCUAGUUCGGAUAUCCCAACCAUUUCGUCAUUCUUUUCCACUACGCUUAUUACCAAGUCCUCGUUCCAACAGGUUGAAGACUUUUUACGGUCACAAAUUGUUAUAACAUUCGUGUUUGUUUCGCCGCGGAUAUUCAGUAGCGACUUCCAUAUCAAUGCAUACAAAAUAUCAACCUCCGAGAAAGGUUGGUCUCGCG